CCCGGUCGUUUCCCCGCGGAGGAAGGCCACGAGGAAAUCUUCCACGAGGUAUUUCUCGGAUCUAUUUGGAAGCCUGCGACGAGGGGUUUUCUAACCCGAUCGAGUCUGUUUUUCACGCGGAACCAUGCCCGACCUACAGAGGUUGGGUAGGAAUCCCCCUCUCCUCCCCGCCGCCGUUGCGCCCGACUCGACUUCCUCCAUCACCGUCGACCUGCCGCCGCCGCCGCCACCAGCGCGCGUUGCCUCCGCUGCGCUCUCCUCCGUCAUCUCUGGCACUGCGCGCGACUCCACUGCACCACCGCCUCCGCAUCAGGUGAGCCCGCGUCUCCCUGCCUCCUCACAUAGUUUCUCAUAGAUCUUGAGGAAGAAAAGCUGCGACCACGAUCUGGAGCAGCAGCGCUCCAUUGAAGCACCCACCCUGUCCGAUGAGCACAACAACUGCAGCUCAUUCCCAUUCCAACUGUGAAGAAACUUCCUUCUGGGCCCGUCUUCCCGUUCCUACCAGCCGUCGUUUCACCCUCAUCCAAGCUCUGAAACUUAUGAUUUGCUUUCAAAUUGGAAUUGGACUUUUGAAUCUGUUCAUCUAUAAGUUGAGUUAUGCUUUGCAGGUUGGAAAGCAAAGGAGAAUGGAAAGCCCAGUGUACUAGUUAGAUAUCUCGUCUUCGUGGAGAACUGGAUUUACUUUCAAAUGAUCUCUUGAUGCUGUCAACUGCAUCCCAAGUAGGUCAGUGUGUUACGUUUGGCUUGAAGCUUGAACUGCAUGGACAAAGUUUACAAGUAGCGAUGAAUUUUGUCUUGAAUUUGCGCUGGUGCUCAAGUGGAAAAUCAGCUAUCUUUGUUUUUCUCACUGCUUCUUUUAGUAGAUGCAGUCUGAAUAAUAGGUCCUUGGAUGCAACUGUUUCAGUGUUAUCACAGCUCUGGUAAAUCACAGAUGCUUGGAUGCAAAUCUUUUGCAUGCAGAGAACUUGGUGAAAGCAAUCUGAGAAGCCCUGCUUCCUUGUUCUAUGUUGUUAGCUUGUUAUACUUCUUUAUGCCAGUUGGGAACACAAAAGAAAAGUGAAGCGGCAAGACCAAUGUGAAAUUUGUGAAAGAAGUUAAUGUCAUAAUCUGUUCUAGUUCCGAUGUUCUUAGUUAUCCAUUUGAAUUUUUAUUAUCUGUCUGGAUGUGUGAAUGGAGAUGACCUGUGAUGUUAUGAUGAAUGGAUUUGCUUGCUUGGA